UCUUUCAUGAAAUAAGGGCUUAGGAGGCCCUUUCAAGGCCUUAUUCUCGAACGAAGGAAGGAU
rnacentral:tRNA from 2 species